rnacentral:tRNA from 1 species
GCCUGGGUGGCUCAGUCGGUUGAGUGUCUGACUCCGACUCAGGUCAUGAUCUCGUGGUCUGUGAGUUCGAGCCCCGCAUCGGGCU